rnacentral:rRNA from 1 species
AUUGAACGCUGGCGGCAUGCUUUACACAUGCAAGUCGAACGGCAGCACGGGGGCUUGCUCCUGGUGGCGAGUGGCGAACGGGUGAGUAAUGCAUCGGAACGUACCCAGUAGUGGGGGAUAGCCCGGCGAAAGCCGGAUUAAUACCGCAUAUUUCCUGAGGGAGAAAGCGGGGGGACCUUCGGGCCUCGCGCUACUGGAGCGGCUGAUGUCGGAUUAGCUAGUUGGUGAGGUAAAGGCUCACCAAGGCGACGAUCCGUAGCUGGUCUGAGAGGAUGAUCAGCCACACUGGGACUGAGACACGGCCCAGACUCCUACGGGAGGCAGCAGUGGGGAAUUUUGGACAAUGGGGCAACCCUGAUCCAGCCAUGCCGCGUGAGUGAAGAAGGCCUCGGUUGUAA